rnacentral:rRNA from 1 species
GAUGAACGCUGGCGGCGUGCCUAAUACAUGCAAGUCGAGCGAACGGACGAGAAGCUUGCUUCUCCGAUGUUAGCGGCGGACGGGUGAGUAACACGUGGAUAACCUACCUAUAAGACUGGGAUAACUUCGGGAAACCGUAGCUAAUACCGGAUAAUAUUUUGAACCGCAUGGUUCAAAAGUGAAAGACGGUCUUGCUGUCACUUAUAGAUGGAUCCGCGCUGCAUUAGGUAGUUGGUAAGGUAACGGCUUACCAAGGCAACGAUGCAUAGCCGACCUGAGAGGGUGAUCGGCCACACUGGAACUGAGACACGGUCCAGACUCCUACGGGAGGCAGCAGUAGGGAAUCUUCCGCAAUGGGCGAAAGCCUGACGGAGCAACGCCGCGUGAGUGAUGAAGGUCUUCGGAUCGUAAAACUCUGUUAUUAGGGAAGAACAUAUGUGUAAGUAACUGUGCACAUCUUGACGGUACCUAAUCAGAAAGCCACGGCUAACUACGUG